rnacentral:lncRNA from 1 species
UGUUACUAUUAUCAUCAUAUUGUUUUAUUUUCAGGAUUCUUUCUUUCAUUUGGCACAUGAAAUAUAGAUAACCUGGAUUCUUCAGUAAUGCAGUGUUGAACUUGAUCCCAGUUGGCAUCUGAAAAUACUGAUGACAUCAGACAGAAGGAAAAUUGGCUGAUUUAUGAUUUGCUUCAAUAUACUGGGUUUACAAUUGGAGAAGACCUGCUUUCCAAGAAAAAAAUUGUCUCAAUCCUAUAUCAUCAUAACUGACAGUUCCACAACAGGGGUAGAGCCCGUUCAUUCCAAGGGGGACUCAAAUGCUAGUGAUCUUCAACCUCUCUUCCACUUGUGAGGAUGAAACCUGGAGUCUAUUGAGUCUGCUUUCUAGAUAUGAAUAGACUGAAUGAAGACAUCUUGGCACUGGUGAAUUCUAUUUCUUUAUUUUUGUCAUCUUCUCAGCACCCAUUCUAUUCUUUCCCAUCUGUAUCUGCUUUGAUUAGGGUGAUAUUAGUUUCACUUCUGUCACAAUAAGUAGGCUCCCUGUUGUUUAAAUCAAUCAGGGCUAUCCCAUCCCUCUUUCCACAAUAUUUCAUGUAGCUCAAGUCUCGACCAGUCAUAACAUGACACUCCCCUGAACACAGGGACCUGUUCAGUGUUUCAAUUAGUAGGAAAGUCAGAUAUAUAUUUGAUGUCCUAUGUGCUGUUGGAUGGGAAUGUACCAUGUUGCCCAACUGCUGGCAGCCACAUUAGGACUUACAGGGUAGCCAGAGGUAGAGUGAAGCCAGAUUUUUUUAUGGCACAACAGAGAAUCUGAAAGAAAUUGAGUUCUUGAUGACAUUACUGAACCGUUGGACCUUCAAGUUACAUGAGCCAGUGAUUCCCCUUUACUGUUUAAGCCACUUGGAAUACAGGUGUACUUUAUAAUCCAAGCAAUCAAACUGAUGUAGUUUCUUUUUUUUUUUUUUUUUGAGACGGAGUCUUGCUCUGUAGCCCGGGCUGGAGUGCAGUGGCCGGAUCCUCAGCUCACUGCAAGCUCCGCCUCCCGGGUUUACGCCAUUCUCCUGCCUCAGCCUCCGGAGUAGCUGGGACUACAGGCGCCCGCCACCUGGCCCGGCCAGUUUUUUUUUUUUUUUUUUUUUUUUUUGUAUUUUUAGUAGAGACGGGGUUUCACCGUGUUAGCCAGGAUGGUCUCGAUCUCCUGACCUCGUGAUUCGCCCGUCUCGGCCUCCCAAAGUGCUAGGAUUACAGGCUUGAGCCACCGCGCCCGGCCCCUCAAACUGAUGUACUUUCAUUGAGUGACUUGUGAAUAAACUCUUCACUCAAGAUCCCAGCACACUCACUGUCCUUUAAAUUAAAAAACGAAAUAACCAUAGAAUCCCCCCUAUGGAAAAUGUUCUCAUACCUGAGAAUGUAGAAGUUAUUUUACUAAAGCAAAAGUUAACUGGCACAAUUUAGCUUCGGCAGCUGGCCAAUGAUUGCACAGAAUAU